rnacentral:rRNA from 1 species
UGCCAGCCUCCGCUGUAAUACUGAGUUUGCAAGCGUUAAUCGGAAUUACUGGGCGUGAAGCGCGCGUAGGUGGUUUGAUAAGUUGGGUGUGAAAGCCCCGGGCUUAACCUGGGAAAGUCAUCCAAAACUAUUAGACUAGAGUACAGGAGAGGGUAGUGGAAUUUCCAGUGUAGCGGUGAAAUGCGUAGAGAUUGGAAGGAACACCAGUGGCGAAGGCGGCUACCUGGCCUGAUACUGACACUGAGGUGCGAAAGCGUGGGGAGCAAACAGGAUUAGAUA